rnacentral:lncRNA from 1 species
UAGUAAUAGUCUUUUAUGCGAUCUCAUGCAUAACUUUCUCCUGUUAUUUGCGUUUUUCUUAAUAACUUAUUGCCAUGGUAUCGGCAGUUCUUUGGAGUCCCUGCUGUUUAUUAUGUUUUCAAAAGCUCUUUGUCUUUCGAUCUCCAGUGUCUCUCUUACUAGUCCUUGUUUCAUGUUAUCUGUGCGUUUUAGUAGUUUUGCCCAGUCCCACUGCAUUAUUAUUGUACCAAGAGUUUUUGACUUAUCAGAUUGACUAGCAUAAAUUAUUCAAAUAGUGUAUUUUUUUGUAACUGAGAGUGAACAACUGAAACAGUUAAAAAAUACUAUUUUUAUAAUGAAAUAUUU